rnacentral:misc_RNA from 1 species
GUGAAUCAUCGAAUCUUUGAACGCAAAUUGCACUCUCCUCGGAGAGUAUGCCUGUUUGAGGGUCAGCCUCUAAAAAUCGACAUCGUUGCUGUUUUGCGGUGUCGUUCGUUGGCACUUGGGUUAUCUUAAAUCCUUUUGGCUUUAAGCGACUCAAAAUUUUCUUUUUGGUUUAUGAACGUUUCUAAGAUUUUUUUCCUUACACUUUUAAGGGUAUCGAUUUUUAUUAGUCGUGAUCAUCAUAUCGGACUGUGUUUAUUAUCUUU